CAAGUCGAGCGCGAAUUAUUCCGUAGCAAUACGGAGUAGUUUGAGCGGCGCAAGGGUGCGUAACACGUGGGUAAUUUGCCGUGAAGUUGGGGAUAACUCGCUGAAAGGCGAGCUAAUACCGAAUGUGGAAUGAGAGUGGCAUCACUUUUCUUCUGAAGCUGGGGACCGCAAGGCCUGGCGCUUCAUGAUAAGCCCGCGGCCUAUCAGCUAGUUGGUGCGGUAACGGCGCACCAAGGCUAAGACGGGUAGCUGGUCUGAGAGGACGACCAGCCACACUGGAACUGAGACACGGUCCAGACACCUACGGGUGGCAGCAGUCGAGAAUUUUUCUCAAUGGGCGCAAGCCUGAAGGAGCGACGCCGCGUGUGGGAUGAAGGGUUUCGAUCCGUAAACCACUGUCAUUUGUGAACAAUGGUUACCCGUGAAUAGCGGGUGACUUGAUAGUAAUGAAAGAGGAAGGGACGGCUAACUCUGUGCCAGCAGCCGCGGUAAUACAGAGGUCCCGAGCGUUGUUCGGAUUCACUGGGCGUAAAGGGUGCGUAGGUGGCAUGUUAAGUUUGAUGUGAAAGCUCAGGGCUCAACCCUGAAAUGGCAUUGAAUACUAG
rnacentral:rRNA from 1 species